AUGUUGACGGGGGCUGAUGACCCGUCAGUUGCAAAAUAUAUGAAUCGUGAGUUUCUACAAUGGCUGGUGGUUGACAUACCAGGAUCUGAUGUGCUUAAAGGCACCACAAUUGCAAAGUAUGCUCCUGUGAUGAUGCCGCCCGAUACAGGUUAUUUUUUCAAAUUACGUUUUUAUUGUGUACGAGCAACCGAGAGUGAGGCCGAAGUGGCACGAACCACCAAUCCAUGAUUUGUGAGUGCAUACUUUUUAUUUUUUAAAAAAAUGUGUAAAGAGGAUGUGUCGCGUGUUACGCGACGGGUAUGUAUACAUAAGUAGCUUUUACGGCGCGCUAGGGUGCU
rnacentral:lncRNA from 1 species